AUGACUGAAGUGCACUUGAGCAAGGCACUGAACCCCCAGUUACUGCCCACUGCUCCGGGUGUGUGUGUGUGUGUGUGUUCACUGCUCUGGGUGUGUGUGUGUGUGUGUUCACUGCUCCGGGUGUGUGUGUGUGUGUGUUCACUGCUCCGGGUGUGUGUGUGUGUGUGUGUGUUCACUGCUCCGGGUGUGUGUGUGUUCACUGCUCUGGGUGUGUGUGUGUGUUCACUGCUCCGGGUGUGUGUGUGUGUGUGUUCACUGCUCCGGGUGUGUGUGUGUGUGUGUUCACUGCUCCGGGUGUGUGUGUGUGUGUGUGUGUUCACUGCUCUGGGUGUGUGUGUGUUCACUGCUCUGGGUGUGUGUGUGUUCACUGCUCCGGGUGUGUGUGUGUGUGUUCACUGCUCCGGGUGUGUGUGUGUGUUCACUGCUCCGGGUGUGUGUGUGUGUUCACUGCUCCGGGUGUGUGUGUGUAUGUGUUCACUGCUCCGGGUGUGUGUGUGUGUUCACUGCUCCGGGUGUGUGUGUGUGUGUGUGUGUGUUCACUGCUCCGGGUGUGUGUGUGUGUUCACUGCUCCGGGUGUGUGUGUGUGUGUGUGUGUUCACUGCUCCGGGUGUGUGUGUGUGUGUGUGUGUGUGUGUGUGUGUGUGUGUGUGUGUUCACUGCUCCGGGUGUGUGUGUGUGUGUUCACUGCUCCGGGUGUGUGUGUGUGUGUGUGUGUUCACUGCUCCGGGUGUGUGUGUGUGUUCACUGCUCCGGGUGUGUGUGUGUGUGUGUGUGUGUGUGUGUUCACUGCUCCGGGUGUGUGUGUGUGUGUGUGUGUGUGUGUGUGUGUGUGUGUGUGUGUGUGUGUGUGUUCACUGCUCCGGGUGUGUGUGUGUGUGUGUGUGUGUGUGUGUGUUCACUGCUCCGGGUGUGUGUGUGUGUGUGUUCACUGCUCCGGGUGUGUGUGUGUUCACUGCUCCGGGUGUGUGUGUGUGUGUGUGUGUUCACUGCUCCGGGUGUGUGUGUGUGUGUGUGUGUGUGUGUGUGUGUGUGUUCACUGCUCCGGGUGUGUGUGUGUGUGUGUUCACUGCUCCGGGUGUGUUUGUGUGUGUGUGUUCACUGCUCUGGGUGUGUGUGUGUGUGUGUUCACUGCUCCGUGUGUGUUCACUGCUCCGGGUGUGUGUGUGUGUGUGUAUUCACUGCUCCGGGUGUGUGUGUGUUCACUGCUUCGGGUGUGUGUGUGUGUUCACUGCUCUGGGUGUGUGUGUGUUCACUGCUCUGGGUGUGUGUGUGUUCACUGCUCCGGGUGUGUGUGUGUGUGUGUGUGUGUGUGUUCACUGCUCCGGGUGUGUGUGUGUGUGUUCACUGCUCCGGGUGUGUGUGUGUGUGUGUGUGUGUGUGUGUGUGUGUGUUCACUGCUCCGGGUGUGUGUGUGUUCACUGCUCCGGGUGUGUGUGUGUGUGUGUGUGUGUGUGUGUGUUCACUGCUCUGGGUGUGUGUGUGUGUGUGUGUGUGUGUUUGUAUUCACUGCUCCGGGUGUGUGUGUAUUCACUGCUCCGGGUGUGUGUGUGUUCACUGCUCCGGGUGUGUGUGUGUGUUCACUGCUCUGGGUGUGUGUGUGUUCACUGCUCUGGGUGUGUGUGUGUUCACUGCUCCGGGUGUGUGUGUGUGUGUGUGUGUGUGUGUGUGUUCACUGCUCCGGGUGUGUGUGUUCACUGCUCCGGGUGUGUGUGUGUGUGUGUGUGUGUGUUCACUGCUCUGGGUGUGUGUGUGUGUGUGUGUGUUUGUAUUCACUGCUCCGGGUGUGUGUGUGUUCACUGCUCCGGGUGUGUGUGUGUGUUCACUGCUCUGGGUGUGUGUGUGUUCACUGCUCUGGGUGUGUGUGUGUUCACUGCUCCGGGUGUGUGUGUGUGUUCACUGCUCCGGGUGUGUGUGUGUGUGUGUGUGUGUGUGUGUGUGUGUGUGUGUGUGUGUUCACUGCUCCGGGUGUGUGUGUGUGUGUUCACUGCUCCGGGGGUGUGUGUGUGUGUGUAUUCACUGCUCCAGGGGUGUGUGUGUUCACUGCUCCGGGUGUGUGUGUGUGUGUGUUCACUGCUCUGGGUGUGUGUGUGUGUGUUCACUGCUCCGGGUGUGUGUUCACUUCUCACUGCUGUGUGUGUGCACUUGAAUGGGUUAAAUGCAGAGCACUAGUUCUAUGGUGUGUAUGGGUUACCACACUUGGCAAAUGUCACAACUUUCACUUUCAGUGCAGAUGCAGUAUAAUGAGAGUGUGUUCACUGCAUACACUGCUUUAUGUAUGUGAGUGUGAGUGUUUUAUAGUGUGUGUGUGUGAGUGUGAGUGUUUUAUAGCGUGUGUGUGUGUGUGUGUGUGUGUGAGUGUGAGUGUUUUAUAG
rnacentral:lncRNA from 1 species